rnacentral:rRNA from 1 species
AUGUGUGCUGUGCAGGGCCAGGGAGCCACCUGCGAAGAGACAAUCGCCAUGAGCUCGCUCUGCCCGUUCGCCAAAGCCACCACCGGCGGCGUGUGCCCCAUGAAAUCCGACAAGAAGCCCGACAAGAGCGGUGGCGGCGCUGCGUGCCCCGUGACGGGCAAGAGCCAUGGCAGCGAGAACAAGGAGAGCGGCGCGGACCGUGCCGCCGGAGAAGAUGGCGCGGAGGACCCCCGCGUGGUGCCCGCAAAGUGCCCCUUCGGCUACGACUCCAACACCUUCAAGCUCGGCCCGCUCAGCUGCAUGGUCUGCCAGGCCCUGCUCCACGACGCCAGCAAAUGCAAGCCGUGCUCCCAUAAGUUCUGCAAGGCGUGCAUAUCGCGCUUUAAGGACUGCCCGUUGUGCGGUGCUGACAUAGAGGGGAUCGAGCCGGAUGCCGAGCUCCAGGCCCUUGUCGAUCGCUUCAUUGACGGCCAUGCCCGAAUCAAGAGAUCGCUUGCUGGAGGGGAUGACCAAGCAGCGGGUGGCAAGAGCAAAGUGAUAUACGAGGAUGUCUCCAUGGAGAGAGGUGCUUUUCUAGUGCAACAAGCCAUGAGGGCCUUUCGCGCACAGAACAUUGAAAGCGCAAAGUCGAGGCUCAGUAUGUGUGCAGAAGACAUCAGGGAGGAGUUGAAAUCUUCAGAAGAUAACCUAGACCUGUGUUCUCAGCUUGGGGCAGUGUUGGGAAUGCUUGGGGAUUGCUGUCGGACCUUGGGAGAUGCGCCUUCAGCGAUCACUUACUAUGAAGAAAGUGCUGAGCUUCUGUCAAAAUUGCCCAAAAAGGACCUUGAGUUGGUCCAUACGCUCUCAGUUUCUCUUAACAAAGUUGGAGACCUUCGCUACUAUGGCGGGGACCUGCAAUCCGCAAGAAGUUAUUAUGCCCGUUCAUUAGAUGUUCGCAGAAAUUCAGUAAAGGAACAUUCAGCUGUGGCCUCCCAGGUCAUUGAUCUAGCAACCUCUCUAGCCAAAGUUGCGGAUGUCGAUAGAAACCUCGGCAACGAAGAUGCGGCUGUCGAGGGUUUUGAGGAAGCAAUCAAGUGCCUGGAGAAAUUGAAGCUUGAUUCUGAGCAAGCUAGCCUAGAACAACGGCGUCGCUCGGUUCUCGACUUCCUGCAGAAGCAAUUGCACGACAAGUAA